AACGAACGCUGGCGGCAUGCCUAUCACAUGCAAGUCGAACGAGAUCUUCGGGUCUAGUGGCGCACGGGUGCGUAACGCGUGGGAAUCUGCCCUUUGGUUCGGAAUAACAGUUGGAAACGACUGCUAAUACCGGAUGAUGACGAAAGUCCAAAGAUUUAUCGCCAGAGGAUGAGCCCGCGUAGGAUUAGCUAGUUGGUGUGGUAAAGGCGCACCAAGGCGACGAUCCUUAGCUGGUCUGAGAGGAUGAUCAGCCACACUGGGACUGAGACACGGGCCAGACGCCGACGGCAGGCAGCAGUGGGGAAUAUUGGACAAUGGGCGAAAGCCUGAUCCAGCAAUGCCGCGUGAGUGAUGAAGGCCUUAGGGUUGUAAAGCUCUUUUACCCGGGAUGAUAAUGACAGUACCGGGAGAAUAAGCUCCGGCUAACUCCGUGCCAGCCGCCGCCGUAA
rnacentral:rRNA from 1 species